CCCGUGAGAUGGCUCACGGGGUCCGUGGAUGAGUCUGGCACGGCUGCGUGGUCAUGCACCCGUCUCUGCUCACACCUCACUUCGACCACAGCUCAGAGACACUGCUGCUUCCAGCUUGGCUAAAAGGAAGCUGCAGUCAGUGCACACCAUCGGUUGAAGAACACCGAUGAAAAUAGAAAGAGAAUUUGACAAGAAAUUACAGCAACUGUCAUAUCUUGUGUCCCACCGUCUUCUGCAAAUCUUCUUACUUAAAGGGGAGCUUAACUUCUUUUUCCAGUUUGCUUGUUGCUGGAAUCUUGAAAAUAGCAUUAUGUUGCUCACAGUUUGAUUUACCGGAUAGAAGGAAGGCUUUUCUGCCUGCACAUUAACACUAAUUUCUCCUCCCCGGCUUAUCUUGCUCCUUUCUUGAGGCUGCGGAGAAGAUGCAAGGCUGGGUUUGACAUCAUCUCCAUGGCAGCACACGUUCGUUUCCAUGGCAAUGUAUUUCACAAACAACCCUACAACUUUACUACAGUGUCAAACAAAAGGAGAAGCCCGACUGUUGGAGCAAGCUCUUACCAAGCUCUUGCUCCAGGGUAAGCACGCCAUUUCAAAAUCUAAAUUCACCAGUCCAUAAUUACUGUGCUACCCAGCUGCAUUCCUGCACACGAGUAGAGAUGCUUUCCUAAACUGCGAAGUAAGGGAUCUGUGUGGGGCUGAUACCUGGGGAAGCAGUGAAUGACUUGACCUCUCUUUCAAGAGUGUUAAAAUUGCAAUGUGGGCUCGCUGCUGAGGAACUACCAACAUACCCAUCUGAAUGAAAGCUGUGAAUCUGUUCCAUGGGUUGUAAAAAUAAACUUGUUUCAUUGAGCUUUCGUGUAUCAUGAGAUUUGCAAAUGUAAAAAUUCAAUACGAAGAAAAUGGGUUUUGAGUAAUUCCUUAAUCUGUUUUUCAGUGGUCAGGAUGUUCAGCUGUGUUUUCUGUGUCUUCUCCCUAAUCACUUUCAUAUUAAAGAUUAAUUGCAUAUCAUAGAGAAUCCUUGAUUAAGCCAAUGAAAAGUGAGGGCACAGAUCUGUUCAUCAGAAGCAGCAUGAAGAAUAAUAAUGAGCAACCGCCUGGCUUGUCUACCUUACAAUAGACACACACAAGACGUAUUUCUGUGAUGCUCCAUUUGCUGUUAUUAAACAGAAAAGAAUCGUCUACUGCUUUACUGGAAAGCUUCCUUAUUAACAAAACACAAUAAAUUAUUCCACUGUACACACCUUUUGUGGUGUAAGUUUAACAGGGAAAGGAGUUAAUAUUUUACAAGUGUGUUUUGCCUCUGACUCCAGGAGAAUUCAACAAGGUGAUUUAUGAAGGCAUUUUUAUUCUAGACUUGCACUUUGCUGUUUUGGUUAUGGCUUUCUCUUUUGCUCCAUGCCUCUUAGCAAUGUUUUUUGUCCUGAGUUGUGAGGUACCGUAUGCGAGGCAUGUACCACAUCAGUAAACCUGCAGAAUUUAUUUCCCGUUGCACAACUAAGUCAGU